AACCUCCAGAUUUCUUCCCCUUAGAUCUAAAUAUUGGUUUGAGUGGCUAAAAAAAGAGAAGUAAAACAGAAGUGGACUUUCAGUCUUUAAUGACAUACGAGUUCAUUUCUAACACAA
ensembl:snoRNA